GCUCAGCAUGGUCUGUGGAAAGAUCCAAUCUGGCUGCACCCAAUACAAACACAGAUAUCUGGAGUAUUUUUAUUGGGUUAUAAAAUAUAAUUGAUUGUUUUCAUAAUUAAAAUAGAUAAAUAAUAGUGUGGAAGAUAAUGCAGGUAGGUAGAGAAGCCUAUUACCAUUAGUACACUAUUUAUUUGUUCUAGGAAUAGAAACGUGUAGUAAUAAGUUAUAAUUUAACCUUAUUUUUAAAGGGCCUUGUUUUUUUUAAUAAUUCAUAUUAAAACAAUUGCUGUAAUUGAAUGGUUUAAUAAAUAUCUCUAUGGAUAUAUUUAUUAGCCACCUAAUGAGGCUGUGCAUCUGCCUCUGUCUAUCCAUCUAUCAUAAGAAUAACAAAAUUACAACAAUGUUAACACUGAAAAUCACACGCAAGACAAAGAACUUACAAAUGAAGAAACACCUAAGACUGUCCGGUUUAUAAACACAAUUGUG